UUGUGUUCUUGUUGUUCUUCAUGUUGAUCUUGUUGCUUUUGUUCUUUUUCUUUUCCUUUUUCUUUUUCUUUUUU
rnacentral:ribozyme from 13 species